UACGUAGGGUGCAAGCGUUAAUCGGAAUUACUGGGCGUAAAGCGUGCGCAGGCGGUGAUGUAAGACAGUUGUGAAAUCCCCGGGCUCAACCUGGGAACUGCAUCUGUGACUGCAUUGCUGGAGUGCGGCAGAGGGGGAUGGAAUUCCGCGUGUAGCAGUGAAAUGCGUAGAUAUGCGGAGGAACACCGAUGGCGAAGGCAAUCCCCUGGGCCUGCACUGACGCUCAUGCACGAAAGCGUGGGGAGCAAACAGGG
rnacentral:rRNA from 1 species